rnacentral:tRNA from 1 species
GGGUGUCGACCGGCAUUGGCGACUGGAGCAGACUGUAAAUCUGUGGCCCCUAGGGGCAAUAGGGUUCGAAUCCCUGGAUACCCACCA